rnacentral:antisense_RNA from 1 species
CUUCAACGACCCGAGCCACAGGGGGCGUUCGGCGUCGCGGCCCUGUCCGUACGUGGCGAGGAUCGCCUGUGCCUC